AUGAAGGGAUGGGGCGCCAACCUGGGGCGUGAUCUCCGCGAUCGCAAGAAGGCCCUGUUGACCGCCAUCCAGGCCCUGGACCUACGAGCGAACGCGACCGGCCUCUCCCCUGAGGAGUGGCUUUCCCGAUACGACUUGGAAGACCAACUCUCCGUCAUCUACACCGACGAGGAGGCCUAUUGGCGUCUGCGUGGCUCCCAGGAAUGGGUAUUGAAGGGCGACGCGAACACGGCC
rnacentral:rRNA from 1 species